UGGGGAAUAUUGCACAAUGGGCGCAAGCCUGAUGCAGCCAUGCCGCGUGUGUGAAGAAGGCCUUCGGGUUGUAAAGCACUUUCGGCGAGGAGGAAGGUGGUGAGCUUAAUACGCUCAUCAAUUGACGUUACUCGCAGAAGAAGCACCGGCUAACUCCGUGCCAGCAGCCACGGUAAUACGGAGGGUGCAAGCGUUAAUCGGAAUUACUGGGCGUAAAGCGCACGCAGGCGGUUUGUUAAGUCAGAUGUGAAAUCCCCGGGCUCAACCUGGGAACUGCAUUUGAAACUGGCAAGCUAGAGUCUCGUAGAGGGGGGUAGAAUUCCAGGUGUAGCGGUGAAAUGCGUAGAGAUCUGGAGGAAUACCGGUGGCGAAGGCGGCCCCCUGGACGAAGACUGACGCUCAGGUGCGAAAGCGUGGGGAGCAAACAGGAUUAGAUACCCUGGUAGUCCACGCUGUAAACGAUGUCGAUUUUGGAGGUUGUGCCCUUGAGGCGUGGCUUCCGGAGCUAACGCGUUAAAUCGACCGCCUGGGGAGUACGGCC
rnacentral:rRNA from 1 species